AGCUUGCUUCCUGAGACCGGCGCACGGGUGCGUAACGCGUAUGCAAUCUACCUUGUACAGGGGAAUAGCCCAGAGAAAUUUGGAUUAAUGCCCCAUAGUAUUAUUAAAUGGCAUCCUUUAAUAAUUAAAGUUCCAACGGUACAAGAUGAGCAUGCGUCCUAUUAGUUAGUUGGUGUGGUAACGGCAUACCAAGACGAUGAUAGGUAGGGGUCCUGAGAGGGAGAUCCCCCACACUGGUACUGAGACACGGACCAGACUCCUACGGGAGGCAGCAGUGAGGAAUAUUGGACAAUGGGCGCAAGCCUGAUCCAGCCAUGCCGCGUGCAGGAAGACGGUCCUAUGGAUUGUAAACUGCUUUUAUACAGGAAGAAACACUGGUUCGUGAACCAGCUUGACGGUACUGUAAGAAUAAGGAUCGGCUAACUCCGUGCCAGCAGCCGCGGUAAUACGGAGGAUCCAAGCGUUAUCCGGAAUCAUUGGGUUUAAAGGGUCCGUAGGCGGCCUUAUAAGUCAGUGGUGAAAUCUCCUAGCUCAACUAGGAAAUGGCCAUUGAUACUGUAGGGCUUGAAUUAUUGUGAAGUAACUAGAAUAUGUAGUGUAGCGGUGAAAUGCUUAGAUAUUACAUGGAAUACCAAUUGCGAAGGCAGGUUGCUAACAAUAUAUUGACGCUGAUGGACGAAAGCGUGGGGAGCGAACAGGAUUAGAUACCCUGGUAGUCCACGCCGUANACGAUGGAUACUAGCUGUUUGGAGCAAUCUGAGUGGCUAAGCGAAAGUGAUAAGUAUCCCACCUGGGGAGUACGAACG
rnacentral:rRNA from 1 species